AGUGAACGCUGGCGGUAGGCCUAACACAUGCAAGUCGAACGGCAGCACAGUAAGAGCUUGCUCUUACGGGUGGCGAGUGGCGGACGGGUGAGGAAUACAUCGGAAUCUACUUUUUCGUGGGGGAUAACGUAGGGAAACUUACGCUAAUACCGCAUACGACCUACGGGUGAAAGCAGGGGAUCUUCGGACCUUGCGCGAUUGAAUGAGCCGAUGUCGGAUUAGCUAGUUGGCGGGGUAAAGGCCCACCAAGGCGACGAUCCGUAGCUGGUCUGAGAGGAUGAUCGGCCACACUGGAACUGAGACACGGUCCAGACUCCUACGGGAGGCAGCAGUGGGGAAUAUUGGACAAUGGGCGCAAGCCUGAUCCAGCCAUACCGCGUGGGUGAAGUAGGCCUUCGGGUUGUAAAGCCCUUUUGUUGGGAAAGAAAAGCAGCAGGUUAAUACCCCGCUGUUCUGACGGUACCCAAAGAAUAAGCACCGGCUAACUUCGUG
rnacentral:rRNA from 1 species